AGCGAACGCUGGCGGCAGGCCUAACACAUGCAAGUCGAACGGAGGGGCGGACGGGUGAGUAACACGGGGGGACGGGCCUUUAGGUUCGGAAUAACCCAGGGGAACGUGUGAUAAUACCGAAUGCCUUUAGAGCGGCGCGCGUCUGAUUAGCUAGUUGGUGGGGUAAAGGCGCACCAAAGCGACGAUCAGUAGCUGGUCUGAGAGGAUGAUCCGCCACAUUGGGACUGAGACACGGACCAAACUCCUACGGGAGGCAGCAGUGGGGAAUCUUGCGCAAUGGGCGAAAGCCUGACGCAGCCAGGCCGCGUGAAUGAUGAAGGUCUUAGGAUUGUAAAAUUCUUUCACCGGGGACGCGGUACCCGGAGAAGAAGCCCCGGCUAACUUCGUGCCAGCAGCCGCGGUAAUUC
rnacentral:rRNA from 1 species